UACGUAGGGUGCGAGCGUUUGUCCGGAAUUACUGGGCGUAAAAGAGCUCGUAGGCGGUCUGUUGCGUCCGCUGUGAAAACCCAGGGCUUAACCCUGGGCUGGCAGUGGAUACGGGCAGACUAGAGGUAGGUAGGGGAGAAUGGAAUUCCCGGUGUAGCGGUGAAAUGCGCAGAUAUCGGGAGGAACACCGGUGGCGAAGGCGGUUCUCUGGGACGGUACUGACGCUGAGACGCGAAAGCGUGGGGGAGCGAAACAGG
rnacentral:rRNA from 1 species